GGAGGCGUCCGGGCGCCUGGUGGGCCCCCCGGUCUUCAAAAUCGGUGUGCGGGCGAGAGCUCGCAGGCGGGUUCGAUUCCCGUCCGCCUCCGCGA
rnacentral:tRNA from 1 species